rnacentral:rRNA from 1 species
GACGAACGCUGGCGGCGUGCUUAACACAUGCAAGUCGAACGGAAAGGCCCUGCUUUUGUGGGGUGCUCGAGUGGCGAACGGGUGAGUAACACGUGAGUAACCUGCCCUUGACUUUGGGAUAACUUCAGGAAACUGGGGCUAAUACCGGAUAGGAGCUCCUGCUGCAUGGUGGGGGUUGGAAAGUUUCGGCGGUUGGGGAUGGACUCGCGGCUUAUCAGCUUGUUGGUGGGGUAGUGGCUUACCAAGGCUUUGACGGGUAGCCGGCCUGAGAGGGUGACCGGCCACAUUGGGACUGAGAUACGGCCCAGACUCCUACGGGAGGCAGCAGUGGGGAAUAUUGCACAAUGGGCGGAAGCCUGAUGCAGCAACGCCGCGUGCGGGAUGAGGCCUUCGGGUUGUAAACCGCUUUCGCCUGUGACGAAGCGUGAGUGACGGUAAUGGGUAAAGAGGCACCGGCUAACUACGUG